UACAAAGUCGAGUCGGUUUAAGGAUACGUUCGUUGGGUAGGGGAGCGUUCUGUAAGCCUGUGAAGGUGUGUCGUGAGGCAUGCUGGAGGUAUCAGAAGUGCGAAUGCUGACAUAAGUAACGAUAAAGCGGGUGAAAAGCCCGCUCGCCGGAAGACCAAGGGUUCCUGUCCAACGUUAAUCGGGGCAGGGUGAGUCGACCCCUAAGGCGAGGCCGAAAGGCGUAGUCGAUGGGAAACGGGUUAAUAUUCCCGUACUUGGUGUUACUGCGAAGGGGGGACGGAGAAGGCUAUGUUGGCCGGGCGACGGUUGUCCCGGUUUAAGCGUGUAGGUGUGUGUUCCAGGUAAAUCCGGUUCACUUUAACACUGAGGCGUGACGACGAGGCACUACGGUGCUGAAGCAACAAAUGCCCUGCUUCCAGGAAAAGCCUCUAAGCAUCAGGUAACAUCAAAUCGUACCCCAAACCGACACAGGUGGUCAGGUAGAGAAUACCAAGGCGCUUGAGAGAACUCGGGUGAAGGAACUAGGCAAAAUGGUGCCGUAACUUCGGGAGAAGGCACGCUGACACGUAGGUGAAGUGAUUUACUCAUGGAGCUGAAGUCAGUCGAAGAUACCAGCUGGCUGCAACUGUUUAUUAAAAACACAGCACUGUGCAAACACGAAAGUGGACGUAUACGGUGUGACGCCUGCCCGGUGCCGGAAGGUUAAUUGAUGGGGUCAGCGCAAGCGAAGCUCCUGAUCGAAGCCCCGGUAAACGGCGGCCGUAACUAUAACGGUCCUAAGGUAGCGAAAUUCCUUGUCGGGUAAGUUCCGACCUGCACGAAUGGCGUAAUGAUGGCCAGGCUGUCUCCACCCGAGACUCAGUGAAAUUGAACUCGCUGUGAAGAUGCAGUGUACCCGCGGCAAGACGGAAAGACCCCGUGAACCUUUACUAUAGCUUGACACUGAACAUUGAGCCUUGAUGUGUAG
rnacentral:rRNA from 1 species